AAGCUCGUAGUUGAAUUUCGGGGUUAGUAGGUUGGUCAUGCCUCUGGUAUGUACUGGUCUCACUGAUUCCUCCUUCCUGAUGAACCGUAAUGCCAUUAAUUUGGUGUUGCGGGGAAUUUGGACUGUUACUUUGAAAAAAUUAGAGUGUUUAAAGCAAGCUAACGCUUGAAUACAUUAGCAUGGAAUAAUGAAAUAGGACGUUCGAUCCUAUUUUGUUGGUUUCUAGGAUUGACGUAAUGAUUAAUAGGGAUAGUUGGGGGCAUUAGUAUUCAAUUGUCAGAGGUGAAAUUCUUGGAUUUAUUGAAGACUAACUACUGCGAAAGCAUUUGCCAAGGAUGUUUUCAUUAAUCAAGAACGAAAGUUAGGGGAUCGAAGACGAUCAGAUACCGUCGUAGUCUUAACCAUAAACUAUGCCGACUAGGGAUCGGAUGAUGUUAAUUUUUUAAUGACUCAUUCGGCGCCUUACGGGAAACCAAAGUGUUUGGGUUCCGGGGGGAGUAUGGUCGCAAGGCUGAAACUUAAAGGAAUUGACGGAAGGGCACCACCAGGGGUGGAGCCUGCGGCUUAAUUUGACUCAACACGGGGAAACUCACCAGGUCCAGACAUAGUAAGGAUUGACAGAUUGAGAGCUCUUUCUUGAUUCUAUGGGUG
rnacentral:rRNA from 1 species